GUUAACCUGGCUUGUGCCUGCCUCCUGCUCCUCACUGCCAUAACCAUCACCAUCACGCACUGCCAAAGACCAAGCUCACCGUAAGCAAGCAGUGCUGCGUCACUGCUCAGCAGAAGGCACACAGGCGUCCUCCUCAAGCACCGCACGGAGCCCAUCAGCAACACACACAGCUGCCCUGAUGCAGCGCGGGCAUUUGGCUGCUACUGCUCUGCUGCCCACCAGCACUGCACACCUCCCGCGGCCUGACAUGUGCUCCUGCCCCACACUGC
rnacentral:lncRNA from 1 species